rnacentral:rRNA from 1 species
CCUACGGGUGGCAGCAGUGAGGAAUAUUGGUCAAUGGACGAGAGUCUGAACCAGCCAAGUAGCGUGAAGGAUGACUGCCCUAUGGGUUGUAAACUUCUUUUAUAUGGGAAUAAUAUGUUCCACGUGUGGGAUUUUGUAUGUACCAUAUGAAUAAGGAUCGGCUAACUCCGUGCCAGCAGCCGCGGUAAUACGGAGGAUCCGAGCGUUAUUCGGGUUUAUUGGGUUUAAAGGGAUCGUAGGUGGAUUGUUAAGUCAGUUGUGAAAGUUUGCGGCUCAACCGUAAAAUUGCAGUUGAAACUGGCAGUCUUGAGUAGAGUAGAGGUGGGCGGAAUUCGUGGUGUAGCGGUGAAAUGCUUAGAUAUCACGAAGAACUCCGAUUGCGAAGGCAGUUCACUGGACUGCAACUGACACUGAGGCUCGAAAGUGUGGGUAUCAAACAGGAUUAGAUACCCGAGUAGUC